rnacentral:rRNA from 1 species
GCGACAGGCUUAACACAUGCAAGUCGAGGGGCAUCGGUGGUGAAGGCUUGCCUUUACCAGCCGGCGACCGGCGCACGGGUGAGUAACACGUAUGCAACCUGCCUGCCACAGCCGGAUAAUCGGGAGAAAUUCCGUCUAAUACGGCAUAAUGCACCUAUGGGACAUCCUGUUGGUGCCAAAGGUUGAUUCCGGUGGCGGAUGGGCAUGCGUCGCAUUAGUUAGUUGGCGGUGUAACGGACCACCAAGACGACGAUGCGUAGGGGUUCUGAGAGGAAGGUCCCCCACACUGGUACUGAGACACGGACCAGACUCCUACGGGAGGCAGCAGUGAGGAAUAUUGGUCAAUGGGCGGGAGCCUGAACCAGCCAAGUCGCGUGAGGGAUGACGGCCCUAUGGGUUGUAAACCUCUUUUGCCGGGGAGCAAAGUGCCGCACGUGUGCGGUUUGGAGAGUACCCGGAGAAAAAGCAUCGGCUAACUCCGUGCCAGCAGCCGCGGUAAUACGGAGGAUGCGAGCGUUAUCCGGAUUUAUUGGGUUUAAAGGGUGCGUAGGCGGACGCUUAAGUCAGCGGUAAAAUUGCGGGGCUCAACCUCCUCGAGCCGUUGAAACUGGGUGCCUUGAGUGGGCGAGAAGUACGCGGAAUGCGUGGUGUACCGGUGAAAUGCAUACAUAUCACGCCGAACCUCCAUUGCGAAGGCAGCAUACCGGCCCCCCAACUGACCGCUAAAGCCCGAAGGCGUGGGUAUCGAACAGGAUUAAGAUACCCCUGGUAGUCCACGCAGUAAACGAUGAAUGCUAGUUGUCCGGGGCGAUUGAGUUCUGGGUGACACAGCGAAAAGCGUUAAGCAUUCCACCUGGGGAGUACGCCGGCAACGGUGAAACUCAAAGGAAUUGACGGGGGCCCGCACAAGCGGAGGAACAUGUGGUUUAAUUCGAUGAUACGCGAGGAACCUUACCCGGGCUCAAACGCAGGAGGGAUGUUUUUGAAAGGAGGCAGCCAGCAAUGGUCUCCUGCGAGGUGCUGCAUGGUUGUCGUCAGCUCGUGCCGUGAGGUGUCGGCUUAAGUGCCAUAACGAGCGCAACCCCUACCUACAGUUGCCAUCGCGUGAUGGCGGGCACUCUGUGGGGACUGCCUGCGCAAGCAGUGAGGAAGGCGGGGAUGACGUCAAAUCAGCACGGCCCUUACGUCCGGGGCGACACACGUGUUACAAUGGCAGGUACAGCGGGAAGCCACCCGGCGACGGGGCGCGGAACCCGAAAACCUGUCUCAGUUCGGAUUGGAGUCUGCAACCCGACUCCAUGAAGCUGGAUUCGCUAGUAAUCGAGCAUCAGCCACGGCGCGGUGAAUACGUUCCCG